CUGCUGCCUUCCGUAGGAGUUUGGCCGUGUCUCAGUCCCAAUGUGGCCGGUCGCCCUCUCAGGCCGGCUACUGAUCGUCGCCUUGGUGGGCCGUUACCUCACCAACUAGCUAAUCAGACGCGGGUCCAUCUCAUACCACCGGAGUUUUUCACACUCUGUCACUCGACAAUGUGCGCUUAUGCGGUUUUAGCAGUCAUUUCUAACUGUUAUCCCCCUGUAUGAGGCAGGUUACCCACGCGUUACUCACCCGUCCG
rnacentral:rRNA from 1 species